UCAAGAAGGAGGGAAGAGAGGAGAAGAGGAACGCGGCGGCGUCACGGACACGGACGCUCAGGGACGACUACCGGCGCGUGGAGGAGUCUCUGCGUGGGACCAAGGCGCGGAUCAGCCGAGAGUUUGAGCGCCGGAGGGAGCAGCUGAGGGAGGAGGAGAGGGAGGCACUGGAGCGCGUGGACGAGGAGGGCCGCUCCGUGCUGUCCCGCAUCCAGGCGGACAUCGCUCGCUACGAGAGCAGAGCACACGGCCUGGAGCAGGAGAUCAACCAGCUGCUCGCCGCUCUCGCCGUGCAGGACCCCCUCUCCUUCCUGCAGGAUCCCGUAAAUGAGAGACUCAGGUCAGUACCAACCCAGACUCAAACUCGAGCUCUGUCUGCAACCUGGUGGACAAAUCAGCAAACGGUCGUGAUGUGAGUCCUAAUAAACCCAAUUGUAUGCAGUUGUAUCCCGCGUGGUAAAUUGCAUCCCGUACGGGCAGUCCUCGGGUUACGCACACAAUUUGUUCCUGAGACUCAUUCGUAAGUUGAACGGUUCGUAAGUCGGAAUACAAUAACGCACCCUAUUUAAAUGCCGACACGGUUAUGAAAUGUGUUGCGCUUCAACACAGAGGGAAGCAUUGUUAGAUUAAUAAUAAAGAAUAAAUGUUGUACAUUUGCAUCUAACAAUGUAAAACAAUAUACUGUAUAGUAAAUUAAACAUAAUAUAACAUAAUAUGAAUAGAAAGCAAACUUUGUUUUCACUUACAUGUAGUCGGUAGAGGCGCAAUUAGUCACCACAACAAACAGGGCACGCAUGUACACACAAAGACAA